rnacentral:sRNA from 1 species
AAAAAAAAAAAAAUUUGGAUAAUAAUGCCCCCAUUUGGAAUUGAUAUGUUAAAAACACUUUCUUUUCUGUUUUUAAAGAAAUUAUGUAAUAUUAUCCCUUAAUGGUAAUUCAUUAGUGUCAAGUUGAUUUAUAUAUCUUUUGUUUUUUACGUGUUUUCAAUUGCAUUAAGCUUUACCUAAUAGUUUAUAUACACAAACACACACACAGACUUUGUUUGCAUGCAUGGGUUUUGUCAUGACAAUCACAGCAACACAUUUUGCUCAUCAAUAUGCCUCUUAGAUAGAUCUGGGUGAUUGAAAUCUUGAUUUAAUUAAAUACCAGUUGCUCAGAUUGAACCAUAGCAUACUUAUAUAUACAAAUGUCUAUCAUUGUUAAAAGAUGCAUCCAGAGUUUUUCUCUUUAAAGUGUAAUGUUUCAUUUUUUUUCCUCUCUUUCUAUCCCACCAAAGGCAUAUUUUGAUUGCAAUAAAUCACUAGUACUCUUGGAUGUACCUAAGGAAUUACUGCAUGCAUUUACGGUACAUUAAAUAACAGGCCUUGCUGACUCCAUCAUCGUCUCCUUAGUUUGAAUAAUAAAAAAUUGUGGCCCCAUCCCAUCAUUAUACAAUCAAAAUGUUUAUUAGUAAUAUUUUUGUCUGUUUUCUUUAAGUGCUGAUGUUUUUCUAAAAUAUCUUAUUAGCAAUACAGCUCUGAUCAGGAGACACCAGUUAUAGUGACAUAUAGGCAUUAUUAUGAGAUGAAUAUUUACCAUGUAUUGGGAUGUUUUGGGUCUUUCAAAAAGGACUCCCAUAUUUUUCUUCAUUGUCAAAAAGUGUGUGUGUUAGCAUGCUAGCCUAUGAUUGCAUGGGCAUGCAAAUGCAAGUUGUUAUUGAGAAGAGUUUUAAAACAAUUUAAAAGUUUAUUAGAGUAUGUAUUUUUAAUAGUAUUACUAUUAUGAAUUCAUAGAAAUAUGAAUGAUACACACUAGCUGUAUUUGCUGUAUUGAGCUACAGUAAUGUUCUUUUUUAGAGCAUGCAUUUUUUUCUGUCUCGUGAGUCAAUUACCUAUGAACAAAACACCCUUUUCAUUUAGAUUUUUAUAUAAACACAUUAUAACUAGUACGUUACUUAUUCAAAUUUUUUGUUUCUGAAAAACAUUAUUUUCAAAUUUCUUAUUAACAGACAUUUUUUUAUGUCAUCACAAGCUUGGUUUUUAGAACAUUAAAGUACAUUGUGCUGGUACACAAAUGUACCAGUAAAUUAAAUUUAUUCAGUUAUUAUAUAUACUGAUGAAUUUGUGUUAAAAUUGUAUGAACAACAAUUUAAUAAUUAAUAACUUUUCUACCAUUUUUUUUUUAUACAGAUGUACAUCUCCAAAGACAUAUCAAGAUGUUGUUGUUAAUGUUAUACAUGGAUAUGUAUCAUUUUGACAGUUUUCUUGUCAGAGGAAACUAAUCAAAUUAAAUACAUCACUAUUAUGGCUGUAUUUUCCCCAGACAGCUAAGUUUCUGCAUUCCCUUUACUGACUUAUAUACAUGUAGGGAAGUUUAGGAGGCGUAUGUCAAUUCCUCCAAUUAGACUCCCCAACGUGAACUUUUAUAACUACAUGUACACAUAUAGCUGUGACUGUGAUUAUUUUUUUUUUCGUCAUUUUAACUUUGGUGUUUACAGCGUCAAUAUUUGUAUAGUAUGGAUAUAAUAUAAUAGAAGUUGUUUUCUUUUUACAAUGAUUAUUUUGGAAAUAAAAAUACAAAAA